rnacentral:tRNA from 1 species
GCGGGGUGGAGCAGUUCGGUAGCUCGUCGGGCUCAUAACCCGAAGGUCGCAGGUUCAAAUCNCAGUUUUGAA